rnacentral:snRNA from 1 species
GUGCUCACUUUGGCUGCACAUAUACUAAAAUUGGAACAAUACACAGAAGAUUAGCAUGGCCCUUGUGCAAGGAUGACAAGCAAAUUCGUGAAGCAUUUCAUAUUAAA